rnacentral:rRNA from 1 species
GAUGAACGCUGACAGAAUGCUUAACACAUGCAAGUCGACUCGAGUCUUCGGACUUGGGUGGCGCACGGGUGAGUAACGCGUAAAGAACUUGCCUCUUAGACCGGGACAACAUCUGGAAACGGAUGCUAAUACCGGAUAUUAUGGUUUUUUCGCAUGGAGGAAUCAUGAAAGCUAGAUGCGCUAAGAGAGAGCUUUGCGUCCCAUUAGCUGGUUGGUGAGGUAACGGCCCACCAAGGCAAUGAUGGGUAGCCGGCCUGAGAGGGUGAACGGCCACAAGGGGACUGAGACACGGCCCUUACUCCUACGGGAGGCAGCAGUGGGGAAUAUUGGACAAUGGACCGCAAGUCUGAUCCAGCAAUUCUGUGUGCACGAUGACGUUUUUCGGAAUGUAAAGUGCUUUCAGUCGGGAAGAAGUCAGUGACGGUACCGACAGAAGAAGCGACGGCUAAAUACGUGCCAGCAGCCGCGGUAAUACGUAUGUCGCAAGCGUUAUCCGGAUUUAUUGGGCGUAAAGCGCGUCUAGGCGGCAAGGAAAGUCUGAUGUGAAAAUGCGGAGCUCAACUCCGUAUGGCGUUGGAAACUGCCUUACUAGAGUACUGGAGAGGUAGGCGGAACUACAGUGUAGAGGUGAAAUUCGUAGAUAUUUGUAGGAAUGCCGAUGGAGAAGCCAGCCUACUGGACAGAUACUGACGCUAAUGCGCGAAAGCGUGGGGUAGCAAACAGG